rnacentral:rRNA from 1 species
UACGUAGGUGGCAAGCGUUGUCCGGAUUUACUGGGCGUAAAGAGCGCGCAGGCGGUCGUGCAAGUCGCGUGUGAAAGCCCCCGGCUCAACUGGGGAGGGUCACGCGAUACUGUUCGACUCGAAGGCAGGAGAGGGAAGCGGAAUUCCCGGUGUAGUGGUGAAAUGCGUAGAUAUCGGGAGGAACACCAGUGGCGAAGGCGGCUUCCUGGCCUGUUCUUGACGCUGAGGCGCGAAAGCCAGGGGAGCAAACGGGG